rnacentral:rRNA from 1 species
UGAGGAAUAUUGGUCAAUGGGCGAGAGCCUGAACCAGCCAAGUAGCGUGCAGGAUGACGGCCCUAUGGGUUGUAAACUGCUUUUAUAUGGGGAUAAAGUGAGGGACGUGUCCCGUUUUGUAUGUACCAGUAUGAAUAAGGACCGGCUAAUUCCGUG